UGGGGAAUAUUGCACAAUGGGCGUAAGCCUGAUGCAGCCAUGCCGCGUGUGUGAAGAAGGCCUUCGGGUUGUAAAGCACUUUCAGCGAGGAGGAAGGUGGUGAACUUAAUACGUUCAUCAAUUGACGUUACUCGCAGAAGAAGCACCGGCUAACUCCGUGCCAGCAGCCGCGGUAAUACGGAGGGUGCAAGCGUUAAUCGGAAUUACUGGGCGUAAAGCGCACGCAGGCGGUUUGUUAAGUCAGAUGUCAAAUCCCCGGGCUCAACCUGGGAACUGCAUUUGAAACUGGCAAGCUAGAGUCUCGUAGAGGGGGGUAGAAUUCCAGGUGUAGCGGUGAAAUGCGUAGAGAUCUGGAGGAAUACCGGUGGCGAAGGCGGCCCCCUGGACGAAGACUGACGCUCAGGUGCGAAAGCGUGGGGAGCAAACAGGAUUAGAGUACCCUGGUAGUCCACGCUGUAAACGAUGUCGAUUUGGAGGUUGUGCCCUUGAGGCGUGGCUUCCGGAGCUAACGCGUUAAAUCGACCGCCUGGGGAGUACGGCCGCAAGGUUAAAACUCAAAGGAAUUGACGGGGUCAUAGCUGUUUCCUG
rnacentral:rRNA from 1 species